UUUUGUUGUGUUGUGCUCGCUGGUGCAUGUGUGCAAAUACCGUGUUGUUAGUGCAGAGAUGCCGCGCUUUUGAGUUUAUGACAUAGUGUACAGACAUGCGUAGAUAAUUAUAUUCUAGUGUCGACGCUUUUAACAAGAGCCAUGACUAAUGAGAUUCAUCUGCGUGUAGAAUUCGGAGGCGGGGCAGAGCUACUUUUCGGGAAUCAGACAAAACACGAUGUCGCCUUAGACGGUGGACGUGACAAAUGCACCUUGUCCGAUUUAAUCAUGUGGUUGAAGGCAAACCUCCUGAAAGGAAAAGAAGAACUGUUUGUUCAGGGAAACACUGUCUUCCAUGCCUGGAUUGGACCCAUGACCUUUGCAGCGCAACACCAUCGCCACUAAGCUACCACCGCAGCAAUCACCUCAUAUCCACACAUUUAGUGUGGUCCAAUGCCAACCUUUUUUUAGCAUGGCCUCAUACAUCAACCUUCUUUCUUACCCUCUUCUUAUUAAAUUUUUAACCCAUUGUACGGGCAUGUCAGCAUGUAUGUUUAAGCUCAACAAUUUAGAUGAUGGUUCUACUGCUGCUUUGGAACUGUAUGACCUCAAAACCCUUCCAUCAAGAAAUUUCCAACUAAUCUAUGAAUAAAUUGUGUAUGCAAAAGUGCUCAUUUUCACCUCUUGCAAAACAUGUAAACAUGGAUACAGUGCUCUUGUAAAUUAACAAAAAAUUAAAAUAGUAAGAUUAUGUUCUCAGCCGGUAGUGUGAGCCCUCCCCAUCUCCCUUUUCAGGUUUCAGUUUUCAGUUUGUUCACUUUUCAGCUCAUAGCUUUGAAAGCGAGGUAAAGUUAUGUGAGGCAAAUACAGUAAUUGUAAGUACUAAAAAUUAUUUUUGUGUUCCUUGUAAACAUGCUGAAGUGUCUUGAAGCCACUUUUCAAUUUAUGAUCAAUAUCUUUGUUGUAUUAAUAGCUGUUGGGUAUGGAGGGUUGUCUUCACUGGGCCACUUCGGUAGUCUCACAUUGUAAAGAAAACAGUCUGAAAGUAUGUGCAAGGUAAAGACAACACAGUGCUUCUAUAUGUGAUCUCUUUGUCACUGUUUUUGCACUGCUUUUUUCACACAAGACAUGGGAGAUUAUAGUCUUCGGUAAUAUAGUUUGUUCACAUUAUAAUUUCUGUUGGACUAAUAACCCAGCAUGGUUGAAAUGUCACAUCACACAAUGACAAUUCACUUGAUCCUUAGGGUAAAUUCUGAACCUGGCAUGUAUUUUCUCUCAUUAAAGAGUCUGACAGCUUGAUUACACUUUUUCUUAGUAUAUCACUAUGAUGUUGCACUAAUGCACUCGCAGUACAAUAAGACAUAGAAGGUAUGGGUGCAGGAUUACAGUGGAAGCAUGGGGGCAGGUGCUAGUCCGAACACAUAACAACCAUGGACGCACUUUAUAUGAGCAACUUUUCCCUCAUCACUCGGAUGAUUGCCGCUAUAGUCGAGCGCCUCUACAACGAAAUGACCUGUAUAACGAAGAAUAAUUCUGUCCCGGUUCUAUUGUCAGCUGAGCAGUGUACGACAUUUUCAACGAAGUGACCUGUAUAACGAAUGAUUUUGGAGGCCCUAAGCACUUCCUUAUGAAGGCGUUCGACUGUGUAUACAAGAACUGGCAGAAGUAGGGGACAAGGGGUAGCGCUCGGCAAUUUAAUGACAAAGCUAAAAGUUGCAAUCAAUUUUGCACAAACUGAAAGUGCAGCACUGCUGUUACAAAGUUAAAGGCUUUACAAAAUAAAAAAGUCACUGUUGCCCUUGCCAAAAUUCAGGAAGAAGCCUAUGUUCAAUUCAAUUUCUUCUUUCUUUUUAAAUUACAGAAAAAUACACAGUAUGUCUAGAGCCAUAGCCAGUGGCAAGUAAGGGGUCAAGUACAUUAAAGGUGUAUUAGUGCAAGUAAGAAAAGAUAUUUUACAAGGCAAAUCGACACAAUAAAGAAAUGCAAUUGUAUAUACUAGAUCAUAUAGGUUUAACAAGUGUCUUAGUAGUAUAUGAAAGAAAAACAAACACCUGUAAGUGAAAUUGAUUACACAGAAGGUAUAUAAGAGGGUAUCUUAACUCAUUAAUGUUGCCGAUAAGCACUGAUGCACCUUAUUUGUGUCAUUGCGAGUACAAAUAUUUUAUUAGAAAAGUCAAUCCAUCGAAAUGUUAUGCACAAAAUAUCUCCUUAUAGAAGGCAGAAAAUCAGAGGCAUUUUUUAUAUGUUAUUGUUAGUGGUUUAGAGAACAAUGUGCAUCCUGUCUGCUCAUCAGUGCAGGAAUUUCUGCAGGAACAAGAAGCGCUGACAGUGGAUACUCCACAAAAGGCAGUUUGAUACUUUAAAGAAAUGUGCAUAAUGUUCUAAAUAUCCAGCAGCAACUUCACAGAUUAAAUAAGAUGAAACAAAACAGAGAUAGAAAUUUGUGCUGAUGAAAUAGCGUGAAUCAUCAUGCAGCAGUUAAAUUUACCAUGCUGCUGGAGCUGCAAUAACCCAGCAAACCUCCGUGGUACCUGCGCUUACAUAGGGACACAAAAUCAGGGACAUAAACACGAAGAAACCAGACUGAAUGAGUGAUUUCAAGAGUGAAUGAACGGGUGAUCAUGUUUGUGUCCUUGCCCUUAUGUCCUUAUGCUAGUGCAAAAAUCAUGGAACCUGACCAACAAGCUAAAUUUCAAGCAUUGGCUAACAGACCUCGCUGUGUUGUAAGAUGUAGUUUUUGAAACUGUCAUCAACGGAGUAGUGAUGUCAGUGUGGAAGUGAAACUAGCAGUUGGUCGCACAAAAGAACUGCUGUGCCAUUCAAAAACUUGCCAUGUGGUCUUAAUUGCUUGUGUAGAAACUUCUUCCAAAAUGCACAUUGAAACAUACGCAGAUAAAAAGGGGGGUUCCACUGACUCCCCAUACCCAUUCUUGUUCUGAAGCAAGGUACUGGACUUCAUAGUCUGCUGCCUAUUGUAUAGACUGUCAACCCCUGGGGGAAAAAAGAAUGAGAAAGAUAAGGCAGAGGCUAUGUUUAUGAAUAUUUAACAACUCUGUUAGAAAACCUGUGGCGGUAGCUUAGUGGCGAUGGUGUUGCGCUGCAAAGGUCAUGGGUCCAAUCCAGGCUGCGGAGGCUACAUUUUGAUAGGGGCGAAAUGCAAAAAUGCUCUGUUACAUUCAGGUGCACAUUAACCCCUUAACUGCCAUGACAAAUUAAAAAAAAAAGGUAGCUCUUCAUUUCAUUCUGGAGGAUCCACCCCAUCCAUGGUCAAUCUUCUGUGACUCCAAGGCAGCCCUCCAGAGUUUACUCUCAAUACUGCGCCAUGGAUCGCAUGAGCAGCUCGUUGCACAGAUCAGACAAAUACACCAUCGCAUAGUUGACGAAGGACACAAUAUAAUAUAUCAGUGGUUGCCUAGCCACUGUGGUAUACAUGGCAAUGAUCGAGCGGGCGCAGCUGCCCGAUCUGCCCAUCACGGCGUCAACUGCGUUGCCGUUCUUCUUUUGAGAGCCGACGCAGCGAAAAAAACUUUCCAGUGCUUGUGCAUGACCUAACAUUGAUUCAAUGGAAUUCAUCUGAUUUCACAAGUGCACGCCUGCAUACCCUGGACCCUAAUUUACAGCUCCGUAUUCAAUCCGGCCUUCCACGAUGUGACUGUGCACUUCUAGUCCGUCUAUGGCUUGGAGUAGCAUUUUCAAAUGCGUACUUCUUUCUUAUUGGAAUGGCCAAUAGCCCACUUUGUGACUUCUGCGGGUGCAACGAAACAAUCGCGCACCUUCUUUGUGAGUGCCCUCGUUUCAACCAGCAGAGCAGCCCUCUCAGCCAUGAUAGAUCAACUUGACAAACGCCCAAUAACGGGAAACAACAUCCUUGGAAACUGGCCUACACGAAAAACAGCACGAGCCGCCCUGAAGGCACUGCUGCAUUACUUAAGAGACACUGGACUGAGUGACAAAUUGUGACUCUACACUGUGUGACGUAGGGUGGGACAUUGACACUAUGCAACACUAGAACGCCUUCGCAGAUUGCAUGACAGUGCCCACAAAAACAGUUCUGCGUUGUGUGUGUGUGUGAUUUUCUUUUCUUUCCUUUUUUAUGCUUAUUUUUCGCUCUCUCUCACCUAUCGCAUCCCUUACCCCUUCCUUGGUAAAGGGUAGCCAACCAGGGAUAAUCUCUGGUUAACCUCCCUGUCUUUCAUUUACCUUUCUCUCUCUCUCUCUCUCUAAAAAAAAAUUUUUGUGACAAAUUUUUUUAGAGCUACAUAUAUUGUGCAAUAUUUAUUUGUCAAAAUUACAACUGUACAUAUACCAGACUUGUCAACUAGAAUAUCGGUUAUCCCUGUUCUCUGAUCCACACCGCUCUCUUCCCGUCUCUUAACGUUAGGCCUAACAUUUUUUGUUCCAUCGCUCUUUGUGCGGUCCUUAACUUGUUGUAAACUUCAUUGUUCCUGGGACUUGAAGACGCCUUUAGUUUGGCCAAUGAAAAGCUGAAAAGUUUGUCCAUAUGUUAUUUCCUGCCUACAACGUCUUAAGUGGCUUUCACCAUCGAGAAAUACCAGCACCUGGUCAAUUCGUCUGCCAACAUCUCGUGGUGCAUUAAGGUGAAGCAAAUACUUAUAAUGUCCUAAGUGACCUUCACCAUUGUCCUGCAGUGGACAUAAAUAUAGGCCGAUGAUGAUGAUAUACCAGACUUGUACACGUUACAGAAAAAAAGUAACCGUUUACAAUAACAGUUACUUAAUGCAAAAUGUAAUUGAUUACAGUACCGAUUACUGUUCCACGAAAGUAAUUGAGAAAUUACACAAUAGUAAUCGAUUAAUUUUACGUUACUUUCCUCCAAACUUUUUGCUAACAUUGCAUAGGUACAGUAAACAGAACAAGCUUGCCUGGCACUCUUCAAUGCGUCCUGUGCAGCCGUUCAUACAUUGCUUAUGUGCACUAGCAAUUGCUUUUAACAAAUUUCGUGGGUCAUCAUCCUUCUUUUUUCUUGUGAAGACAUCAGCAGAAACUCUGAAUACUUCCUUAAGGAGGAGGUAAAAGAGGCAGGUUAACCAGCUCACUCGAUGUGCGCACAGGGUGGUAAGGUGGUGUUGCAACGUAUAUGGUGCAGACGAUUGUGGUUGCUCAGCAUCUGGGUCCUCUAUGAAUAGCAGCACUUCAUUGUUCCUGGGACUUGAAGAAGACGCUUUCAGUUUGGCCAAUGAAAAGCUGGAAAGUUUGUCCAUAUGUUAUUUCCUGCCUAUAACGUCAUAAGUGGCUUUCACCAUCAAGAAAUACCAGCACCUGGUCAAUUCGUCUGCCAACAUUUGGUGGUGCAUUAAGAUGAAACAAAUACUUAUAAUGUUCUAAGUGGCCUUCACCAUCGAUAAAUACCAGCAUCUGAUCAAUUCGUCUGCCAACAUCUGGUGGAGCGUUAAGAUGAAACAAAUACUCAGCCCCCGGGGUCGCCUGUCUGAACAUGCACAUUUGCGAGGCUGCAGCCUGGCACAAUCUCGGGUGUUCUACUUUAGUUUUUGCCAAAUUCAGAUUCUCUAAGCUGCGUCAUUUGUCACAGCUUGUCUUAACAAUAAAGUAACUGGUUACGUCUAAUUGGUUAAGGAAAAAAAGUAAUUCAAUUACUGUGAGCCUUAUCAAGUAAACAAAGUAAUCGUUAUAUUAAAAAAAUAAUUGAUUUCAAGUAAUUCAUUACAUGUAAUUCAUUACGUACAAGUAUGUGCAAAAAUUGUGUCAAGUUCACAGCAAGUUAACUCAUCAACGGCACCAGAGGAUGCUCGUUGUGAUGACAAGUUACCUUGUCAUUGGUAGUUAAGGGGUCCUUAACGACAAAUUAAAAAAAAAAAACAUUUAAUAUUGCAAAAUUUUUUAGACCUGCAUAUCUUGUGGCAAUCUUUUUUUCUGAAAAAAAAAAUGUGAUACUAAGAAUGCCUAUUGGAUUUUUACUGCUCUUGUUGAGAAAAAUUAAUAAAAGUAAUUUAUUUGUCAAAAUAAUAAGAAACUGCAUGUAUACACAUAUGCAAAAAUUGCGAAAACUUCACAAUGACUCGUCAUCAGCACCAGAGGACACUCAUUGUGAUGAUGAGUUACCUAGUCAUAGGCAGUUAAAAGGUUAAAGAACCCCAGAUGGUCAAAAUUAAUAUGGAGUCCCCCACUAUGAAAUGCCUCAUAAUCAGAUUUUGGUUUUGGCACGAACAAUCCCAGACUUCAAUUUCCAUAAGCACCAGAGACAGAACUGUGAACAGAGAGCUGCACUUCCUGCAUUAUCUGAGAAACAGUGUAGGAUGCAAUCAUGCUAGUAGCACAGCACAUAGAAAAGAGAGCAUGCCACAUCUUGUAAAAUACAGUGGUGUUUCUUUAAUAUGCUUUACUGUGAACACAAAUAAUCCAUCUGCUGUCUGAAGAAUCAAGUGUCUACUUUGGGUGAUGGAGUGCAUUGGCAACAAAAUUUCAGUGAAGGACUUUCUUUCGCAUCAUUCAGCAUAAGGCUUCAAAUGCUACCACUAUAUCGCACUGUUAUCCGCUCGCUUGAAGUUAAAACUUGAGUACAUCCAAAUAACGUCAGUCGAGCACCUUUGAAUAUAUAAUGACAUUAUACAAAGGAAACACCUGUGACCUUUAUGAUUUUAUACCAAUCUUGUGCUCAUAGAAUAAAGCGUGGUGUUUUGAAACAUAUAUAAGAAAAUAUAAAAUUCUGCAGAAACCAUCGACGAUGAUUGUCAGUGUAAGCGAAUAGCCUGAGCGAACAAGCAAAUGUUUUCCUUGCCGAACGCUCCAUUACUGCAUCUAAACCUCCAGACACAUCAAAGCUUACGUACAGUAGCACGUGCAUAUCAAAGAGCUAUAAAGUUUGCAUUUGAUGACGAACGUGCCCUGCAGCUCGGUUGCAUGAGAGCACACGCCCUUUGCAUCGGCCCCAUACCGCAAGUCCUACCACCAGGUGCAAAGACGGGCAAAAGAGGCAAAAAAAGCUAUUCCCUUUAUGCUUUAGUUUUAUGUUUGACUUGAAAGUGUCAUUUCAAAUAGCGCCUAUCCUUGCUGAUAUGAUGUUUUUGUAACAUA